AACGAACGCUGGCGGCAUGCCUAACACAUGCAAGUCGUACGAAGGCUUCGGCCUUAGUGGCGCACGGGUGAGUAACACGUGGGAACCUGCCUUUCGGUUCGGGAUAACGUUUGGAAACGGACGCUAACACCGGAUACGCCCUUCCAGCGAUGGUUGGGGAAAGUUUACGCCGAGAGAGGGGCCCGCGUUCCGAUUAGGUAGUUGGUGGGGUAACGGCCUACCAAGCCGACGAUCGGUAGCUGGUCUGAGAGGAUGGAUCAGCCACACUGGGACUGAGACACGGCCCAGACACCUACGGGAGGCAG
rnacentral:rRNA from 1 species